rnacentral:rRNA from 1 species
GGCGAACGGGUGAGUAAUGUAUCGGAACGUGCCCAGUAGUGGCGGAUGGCCCGGCGAAAGCCGGAGUAGGUACCGCAUACGACCUAUGGGUGAAAGGGGGGGAUCGCAAGACCUCGCGCUAUUGGAGCGGCCGAUAUCAGAUUAGGUAGUUGGUGGGGUAAAGGCCUACCAAGCCGACGAUCUGUAGCUGGUCUGAGAGGACGACCAGCCACACUGGGACUGAGACACGGCCCAGACUCCUACGGGAGGCAGCAGUGGGGAAUUUUGGACAAUGGGCGCAAGCCUGAUCCAGCCAUGCCGCGUGCGGGAAGAAGGCCUUCGGGUUGUAAACCGCUUUUGUCAGGAAAGAAAUCUCCUGGGUUAAUACCUCGGGGGGAUGACGGUACCUGGAGAAUAAGCA